GAAUUUGGCAGAGAUGCCCACACGUGCCUUCGGGAACCGUGAGACAGGUGCCUCGCAUGGCUGUCGUCAGCUCGUGUUGUGAAAUGUUGGGUUAAGUCCCGCAACGAGCGCAACCCUUAUCCUUUGUUGCCAGCGGUCCGGCCGGGAACUCAAAGGAGACUGCCAGUGAUAAACUGGAGGAAGGUGGGGAUGACGUCAAGUCAUCAUGGCCCUUACGACCAGGGCUACACACGUGCUACAAUGGCAUAUACAAAGAGAAGCGACCUCGCGAGAGCAAGCGGACCUCAUAAAGUAUGUCGUAGUCCGGAUUGGAGUCUGCAACUCGACUCCAUGAAGUCGGAAUCGCUAGUAAUCGUGGAUCAGAAUGCCACGGUGAAUACGUUCCCGGGUUUGGUACACACCG
rnacentral:rRNA from 1 species